rnacentral:tRNA from 1 species
GUAAACAUAGUUUUAACACAAACAUUAGACUGUGACUCUAAAAAUAGGGGUUAGAACCCCCUUGUUCACC